CGCUUAGCAACCAAUUUGCGACCUCCCGGGAAGCGGGCGCCCGGCGACACCUGUGAGGCGUAGCCUAACCGCGCUCCCUAACUUCAACCGUGCGGCCCUGCGCUCCGCCGGGCGUCCCCGCGUCACGCACGCACCUCACGGGUUGGCCCAGGUGCUCCCCCGCGUCUGCCUUGAGGCUGGGCUGUGGGCUGGCGCCGCGUGACACGCCGCCGUUGGGGAAGUUUGGUGGAGUCAGAGGAGAAAAGGAAAGUAAGUCACUGUUGUAAGUCCAGCUUAGAGCCGCUUCCCUCGGGAGGACAGAGCCUUCUGGGGCUCUAGGAAACAAGUCAUUGUGAGCUGGCCAGGUGUGCCGAGCGACCCAAAGUCUCAGGCAUCUGUCUCCGAGUGAAGCCUAGGAGUGUGGGGACGGGUGCCAGAGCCUUAUCAUGCACUGCAGAGCUUACUUCUUGCUGGAGAGAGACUUCCAAGAGUUGAAGGAGAACGAUUUUAAGGGUAUUACUGCCUUUCCUGUAAGUGAAGAUCUGAUGGAAUGGGGAGCCAAUAUUGAAGGUCUACAGAAUACAUUUUGGCAUGGAUUAUUCUUCCAACUGACAAUACAUUUUACAUCACAGUACAAUUUUGUCCCUCCAGUUGUGAAAUUCAUAACAAUUCCUUUUCAUCCAAAUGUAGAUCAAAAUUCUGGUCGAGUCUGUAUAGAUUUUUUGGAUGACCCUGAAAAGUGGAAUACAAACUAUACAUUGAGCAGCAUCUUACUUGCUCUCCAGUCUGUCCGGGAAGCAGCUGCCUACAUUGGAAGAGUCAGGGCCAAUGAGUCCUCCACUGGGAUGCCUUUCCGGACUUUCUUCAGAGAGGUCGAAUUGAUGGCUUUGGUUAUGCUUUCUAAUCCAGUUCUAGAAAAUCCAGUGAAUUUGGAAGCAGCCCGAAUGCUGAUUAAAGAUGAAUCUCUGUACAAACAAAUAGUUCUAAGACUUUUCAGCCAACCAAUACAAUUGAGAGAGAACAGCCUUGAGUUUCCUAAAGAUCCACAUAAACUUACCAGAUCAAUUAAAGCAGUCUCAUUUAAUGAUUACUACAAGACAUGGUCUGGAAUAGCCACAUCAAAAGCCACAGAAUAUUAUAGAAGUUCAUUGCUUGAAGACCCAAAUUUUAUUGGAGAGUAUUAUAAACAGAAGAAAGUUGAAUUAAAACAUACUAAAGAAUGGAAUUUAAAGUAUGCUGCUGCUGUGGCUGGGCUGGCUAGAGAAAGUAGAAGGCUUUCCAAAGCCAAUUAUCCAACUGAAAGAAAUCAGCUCUGCCCAACUCCAAUUUCUGUGUGCCCAGAGUCCAGGUAUGGUGUAGCUGGAUCCUCUGCUUGGCAUCCCAUAAGCUAUGAUCAAGGAAAUGACCUCCUGAGGAAAGAGGCCUACCUCUCAAUCUGCCACCGCACAGCACUUCAUCUAGUAGCCAUUCAGUGCUCAUGAAUGAGUGAAUGAAUACUAGAAUGAAGUAGAGUUGUUACGCUUUUAUCAUCUCUGAUCCUGGAAGAAGAUAAAUAAACCCUUGAUGAGUGAACAAAGUAUGAAAGUUGAAAUUUUUGCUGAUACACAAACUGAAAUGGAUAGUGUCAUGAAGACUGGUAGAACAAAGGAGAGGUGGAAGAGUGUAGCUUUACCAGAUGGUGGUAAUGAGAGUGAGUCAUGGGAAGAAGAAGUGGAAGACCUGG